UUGGAAUUACAUGAAUGACAUUGGUUCGCUGCUGCCAAAUCUCGAGAUUCUCAUAUUACGUUGCUAUGCAUUUCGAGGCCCAGAGUGGGACAUAACACCGGGGAGUUUUUUGAAACUUAUUGAACUUCGAAUUGAAGACACCGAUUUGGUGCGAUGGAGACCUCAACGUGGAAGCUUCCCGGAGCUUCGUAGACUAAGCAUGCGGCAUUGCUACAAAUUACAACAGCUCGAUUGGCCGUAUGACCACUCUUGGAUAGAGAUCAUUGAUUUACGCGAGUGCAAUCCUUUAGCUGUCGCUUGUGCCAAGGAAUUAAAAGACAAGUUUUCCUUUCAACUUUCGUCAAAUCUUCUUUUUGAGGUCAAGUGGAUCUGCAACUUGCCAACAGGUUAGUCUUACUACUUUGCAAUAUCAAGUCUUAAUGUUUCUGUUAUAGUCACAGUGUUUGAGAUUGUCCAUCUAUCGAUUUUCAGGCAAAUGAAAGAGACGAUCGAGAGUUGCUUCCCCUGCCGCAGGUGAGUUUCUGCUGUCUGUAGAUUACUAGUAACUUGUUUAACAAACGUCGAGGCCUUUGUAUUACGAGCUGCUGUUUUUGAAGAUCUCUUCGCAAGAUUCUUAAGGAGUUCACUUGUUCAAGGCGCCAUAAGGUAACUUCUUUAUAAUGCAUAACCUAUAAAUGAAUCGAUUAACUUGUAAGUAUUGGGCUCGUUAGCUUGCAAACACGUUCGUGUACAAUUUUCAAUAUCAAAAACCAGAUUUUGAGUUGGGCUGAAUUCCCCAUGGCAUAAUUUUCUUCUAUUCCGACUUGGGCCCAAUAAUUAUAUAAUACACAAAAAAUAACCUUAAAAUAAAAUAUGUACGUAAUAGGAGUAAAACUAACAGAAAACAUUAUAUGUGAUGCUGAGGCACUUAAGAAAAAUAAAGUGUGUGCAUUUUCCACAUCAAAUACAUAUCUUAAGUUUGUGAAAUGCUAUUGUGUUUUAAGACUGAGGAAAAUAAUUCAAUUAUACUUCCUCCGUCCUCAAAUUAUAACUUCAUAGAAGGAAGGAACACGAGUUUUAAGACGAAAAAGUUAAAAGAUGAAAAGUAAGGAUAAAUGGGGUAUUGAGAGUGGCGAAAAGAUGAAAAAUAAGGGUAAAUGAGGAAUUAAUUGUGGUGGAGUAGUGCCCAAAUAUAGAAAGAUUUUUUUUUUGAACGGACCGAAAAUAAAAGUUAGAAAGUUAUUUGCGGACGGAGGAGUAUGUAUGUUUAGAAUAUCUAGCAAAACCAAUAAAAGAUCACCAUGAACUAUAAUCUUUUUAUCCCUCAAUCCAUCUCACAUUUGAAUUUUCCUAAAAAAGGUAUAUAAAUUCAUUAGAAUUUAUAUAUACACUAAUAUAAAAAAAAUGUGUUGGGCACAAACUAUAGAUUGUCUAUUAUAUUCAUAUUACAUACUCCCUUCGUCCCCAAAUAACUUCUUAGUAGGGGACGACACGAGUUUUAAAGAAAAAUUUUAAGUGUAUUGAUAAAAAAAAAGUUUUAUAAUUAAUAUUGAAAGUGGUGAAAAUGUGUUAUAAUUAAUAUUGAGAAUGAUGGAAGGUUGAAAAGUAAUAAUAAAUAAAGUAUAUUAGUGGUGGGGUAAUGUCCCAAAAUGAAUAUGAAGGUAUUUGGAGAACUGAAGGAGUAUUUAAUUUUAAGAGUAAUUAUAUAAAGUAUAUAUUAUAUAUCUAGAAGAAUAUAUUAAUUCAUUAGACAUUAAAGUACUACAAAAAUAUGUCAAUUAAUUAUAUUACCUUAUCAUAAAUCUAUUUGAUGAAUCUGAAAAUCUUUUUAGAAUCCUGAAAAAAUAUCCUAUGAAAUCUAACUAUUAACUAAAUAAAUGAAAAUUCAAUAUUAUAUAAAUAAAUAGGUUACAUAUAAAGUGUACUCCAUCCGUCCCACGAAUCUUGAUACGCUUGGUUUCAGCACGGGAAUUAAGGAGUUGUAGAUUAGUAUUUUAAGUGUGUAGUUAAUGAAGUAUAAAAGUGAUAAAGUAGGAGAGAAAAUGUAAUAUAAGUGAUAAAGUUAAUCGAUAGCGUGUUCGUGCUCGUAAAAUGAGUUUCUCUCUUUCACUCUGCAGAAGCCAUUGUGUAGAUGUUGCUAACUCAUAUAUAUAAAGUGCUCUUGAUUUUAGAUCGAGUUGUAGAAAUCAAGAUUUGAUGUUAAUUUCAUUGGACUUAAAUAUUUGUUUUUUUUAACUAGUGGUAAUAAUAUGUGUUCUAUUUUAAGUCACAGGCUAUUCCCUCAAAGUUGAGAGUUUGCCUUAUUUUUAUCAACCAGUUUGAUCGAUUUUGAAUUAUUUAGAUUGUCACAAGGAUUUUGCAUAGGUCUGCCUAAUAUCUUUGCAAUAUCACAUUUUUUAAUGUUCUUAUUAUAUUCACAGUGUUUGAGAUUGUCCAUCUACCGAUUUUCAGGCAAAUGAGAUAGCCGAUCAAAGGGGUCAGGCGUUGCGUUAUCCCAUAAUUUCGAUUGUUGUAUUACCACAUUGUCGUAUGAAUUUAAGGAUUGUGAAACCUGAGUGCUGAAUUUUGUUUGUAACCAAAAUUGUUGUAAGUUGGAUUUGUGUGAAAACAUGAGUCCCUUAUUCAGUUCAAGGAUUGUAAUAUUUGUGAGUUCUGCAUAGUUUUAACUUUGUUUUCAUAGUGUGUAUGUGUGGUUAAAGAUGUUGUUGAUUUAGCUAUGAAGAAGAAUCUGAUAUUCUGAUUAAGAGCUCUUGUUGUCUAAGAAGAAAAGAAUUGAUGAAUUAUCAUUCAUAAAAUUGGGCUUCUUCAUAUAAUAAACAAAAUUUCGGCCCCAUACAAAAUCAAGGCCCAACCUCCAUCAUUUAUCUUUUAAAUUUUGCCUCAGUGUCAAAUUAAAAGGCAUCAAAUUCAACUCAAUUUCUUUAGAAGACAUUCAAAUUAAAUCCAUGGCACUUUAGAUAUUCCACCGGUUAUCUUGUUAUAUUUAUGGUUGAAGUCACUAUGUGGAAAAUAGGACCUAAUGGUAAAAAACAUGAAUCAAACUUUCAAUAUUUUCAGAAAGAGGACUAUAUAUUACGAAAUUUGAAAAUAAGGACUAUAUUCAACAAAGUAAUGAAUCAAUCGUAGAUCUUGAUAAUCUAAGAGCUGAAAAUGGUUCUUAUUUUAUAUUCUAAGAAGUGUUUUUAUUUUAGCUCAUCCCAUCCAACUAAUAUCUAAAAAAUUGUGGUAAGAUAUAAACAGUAGAAUGAAUCAAUUAAAUAGACCAAAUCGUUAAUUGAAUAAUUAAAUAUAAUAUAUAUUAUAUUUAUAUUUUUUAUUUUAUCAAAUAAAAUUAUAUUAAUUAUGCGUACAAAGUGACAUUUAACAUAGUAUGAAAUUUUCUAACUGAGAUAAACGUGUUAAAAGAGUGGAAAAAGUGAGAAAAUAUAUGUAUUUCAUCAUUUUUUUAUUAAAGAAAAUGCAUCCCAAGACUUUAUCAAAUUGGUUCAAAACGAGAUAGAUAUAUAUAAUAUUGAGUCACAAAAGAUUAUACUGAACAUUGUCUGAAUCGCCAUCACAUGCUUUGCAUCGAGAUCAGGUAUUGAGAGCUGUUGGCUUUUGGUCCCAUUUGCCCAUUCCAACAUUAAUUUUCUCAUAUCCCCAUGCAAACUAUUAGUUUAUUACACCCUGAUUAUUUUCCUAUUCAUCUUGAAUAUAAGGAUUAGAAAUUUCACAUUCUUGAACUUUUUGCCUUACUCAACCUAUUUGGAGGAUUGGAAGUCUUCGCUUAAAUCAUGAUAUAAUUAACCUAAAGUUAGGAUGUUAUAUUUAUAAAAGACUUAAUAUAUUAAAAUACUCACUUCCAUAAUAUGUCUAUGUAAGGGGGUGGGUAUUUUUCAUAGACAUAUUAUGGGGGUGGGUACUUUUAAUUCCACCCCUUUAUAAAAUUGGUUUUGGCCUGAAAUUCAAUAAUUAUGGACAAAAAUACAUUGGAAAAAUAUAAUUUUGUUAUAAACUAGAGAUAAACAAGAGAAUAUAGAAGAUAAUACGAAUUCAGUGUAUUCAAUAUGAGGGCCAGAAGUUAGGGUUUUAGGGAGAUUUCUUGGUCAACACACAUAACAUAUAUCUAGAUGAUAUAUUUACAACAAAUUUUAUCUUUUAACUGUUGGACUUUUAUGUUGUACCCAAAUGCAAUCUUAUUGAUUGAAAANAACUUUCGUUUAUUUUAUCAUCAGUUCUAAUAUAUUUGAUCAUCUGCUGCUAAUAUUAAGGCCACAAUCGAAAUCUCUUUAACUUGAGCUUCAAAAUCCUCAAACCAAUUUUGCAGUCCGAUACAUAAAACUCUACCUCGAAUAGUUGACGAAACUCUAAUUCUGCAACGUCAAAUUGAUGGCGUAAUAAAAAGUUAUUUAGGAGGUUUUGUAGUUCAAGUCAAAGAUAUUUUGAUUGUGGUCUCAAUUUCAGUGAUCGAUAAUCAAAUAAGUCAAAAUUGAUGCAACAACAAUUAAAAGUGUGGCAGCCCGAUUUUGCUAAGGAUAGCUAAACCGAGAAAUCAACGAUUAAGGAUGAUCGGAUUAAAGAAGUGGUGAAAAAAAAGGCAUCGAUCAUAAACACUUAAAUCUCAUUUUAAAUAAUAACCAAAUUAAAUAUGCAAGAUGUUGGAGUUAAUUUUUAACUCCAUAAAACUUUCCUAAAGUUAUAAAAUUUAAUUGUAUUGUUUUGCCUUCUUCACGUGUUAUGUUGUGUUUACGAUAACAUCUUUUUACAUCACUUGUUGGUUUUUGUAAGGUUUCGGAGUAUUAUUCUUGAACUGAGUUUUGUUCUUUAGUGAGAGUGUCAUGUGUUUAAUAUCUAUGUCAUUGCAAAGGUAUUGAACGUGAAUUGUUCAUUCUCUAAUUAGUUUUCUUGACAUAUGGUGUCUUCUUCAUUUAUUUUUGUUCCGCUACUUUAUACUCCGCGUGCUGUUCCAAUAUUCCGCACAACAUUUUGAUCCAGACGAAGCAACACUUUCACAAGAAAUGAUAGCUAAUAAAAGCCGACAAGGUGCAUAGAUAAUUUAUAUAGGAAUUCUCUAAAAAAAAUUAUUUUAUUAAAGAGGUUUUACUAUAAAGUUUAGUAAUUUAUUUGAGUAUCAUUUUAAAGAGGUUUUACUCUCCAUCUUAAAAACAUAAAAUUUGUCCACUUUUUACAAUUUCGGACUGCAUUACUCUUAAUUUGGAUGGACUGGAUCGGAUUGGGCGUGUUGAUUCAGUGUUACUUUUUGGAUUGUACUAAUGUUAGUAAUUUGUUUUGUAAAUUAUAAUAAUUUAGAAUUAGAAUACAAAUGAUUUAUAAUUUAAUUUUAUUAGAAGUUUAAUUUGCCUUAAAUCCCUGAAAUUAAAAUUAAUUAUGUAAAAUAAACUUAACAAAUAAACAUCCCGAGGCAUUCAACGAUUAGUGAUGUGCACAUGGCGUCAACAAUGUCGAGGCAUUUGUGUGAAUCAAUGCAAUUUAAAAAUAAUAAUCCUUUAACAAUGGUGGAGACCCUCAAUCAACCACUCACUUUAACAAUUCUCUUCCACCUUCAAAAUCCUAAUCCUUCCCACCACCUACCGCCGUUGCCGUUGAUAUCUCAUAUUUCAAUCAAGUUAUGGCGGCUUUUGGUGCCGCAGCUUCUCUCAAGAAUACGAUUCUGCGUAUUCUACAAUCGUCUCGCAUUUCUCUCGUUUCCCACUCUCCACAAAUCUUGCAACCUGCCUACGACGAGAUGGAUCGAUUGCAGAAAGUUCUGCUCAAAUUGGACGAGACCAGCUGCAGCAAGAUCAGGACGAAGGUGAAUGCUUUGGAUGAACUCAUAAAAGAGGCAGUUUGGGAAUUCGAAGAUUUACUCGAAUCCCAUAUCUUACCUCAGAUUCUUCCACAACUCGAAAGCGAGAGAGACAACUUGUCUUUCUCUGUAGAUCUGCAGAGUCUGCAACACCAUGUUGAUUGCUUCGUCGAGAUGGUGAAGAUGAUGGAGGAAGAGUACACAAUGAAAUGGAGAAUAUGGCUGAAGAAGAAGGCGACCUAUUUCCUCAAGAAUUGAUUCUGGUGGAAUGAUCAAUCAAGAUGGUUGGAAUCUAUGAUUAAAAAGCCAGAGAAUCUUCUUAAGAAAACUAUUCGUUUUGGGAUGGCGGGUUGGAAAGACAACUCUUGCUAACAUAUAUUUGAAGAUCCAACAAUUCGGAGCCAUUUUGAGUUUCGAGCAUGGGUCAAAGUGGGCAGAAAAUGCGAACCCAAUGAACUAUUACGCUGCGUUCUAGCUCAAGUGGAUCCCAACACUUACCGAAUGCUUGCCCAAGGAGAUGAUGAUGAUGAGGAAUUAGUUGGAUUAUUGAAAGAAAAAUUGCAGGAUAAGAAAUGCCUCGUCAUUUUGGAUGAUGUUUGGGGGGUACCAGCAGCAAAUCGCUUGACAAAUUGCUUGCGAGAAAAGAAUACUCUUGGAGGGAUUCAGCUCUUACUUACAAGUAGACAAUGUAUAAAAUACAAGCAGCAUGGGGGCAUGAGAUUGAGCUUGUUGAAUGAAGAAGAUAGUAAGAAACUACUUGGUGAGAAGGUGUUUGGUGAGAAGGUGUUUAGUGAAGACGGUUUCCCUCGUCAACUUGAGGAACUGGGAGAGAAGAUUGCCAAGAAAUGUGAAGGUCUUCCUCUUAUGAUAGUCACAGUUGCAGAGCUCCUAUCAAAAGCCGACAAGACCCCAGAAUACUGGACUGAGGUAGCCUACAAACAACACAACUCACUUUUCGAGGAUGCAUAUAAUCAAAUAUCAGAGGUACUUUUCCCAAGUUAUGACUACUUACCCCAACAUUUAAAAAUGUUCUUCCUCUAUAUGGGAGCUUUCCCUCCUUAUGAUGAUCAGAGACCAUUCAAUAUUAAUUAUCUUUUGAGUGUUGAGGGAUUUCUUGAACUGAAUGAUGAAAAAAGUUUUGAAGGUUUCUGGGAAAAGCUUUCUCAGGAGUAUUAUCUUGUUCUCGACACAGAAAAUUCUUGGUAUUCGGGUAGAGUAUCGCGUGCAUUCUUGUUGGCAGCACUUAUGUAAGGUAGAAGCUAGUAGGAUCAAGUUUCUACAUGUCUUACGAGGUUGUGAUGAUGUUAUAAAAGACAGCGCCGCUUGUGUGCCCAUUAACAUUAUUCGGCUUCAAACAAGUGUAUGAUUUGAUAAAAAGUGAUUGUGCAUCCACUGCCCGUUCUCUCCUUUGUUAUGGUCCUUAUCACCCAUAUCCAAUCCAAUACAUGCCAUGGGUUUCAAGUUGCUCAGGGUACUAUAUGCUCUUGGAGUUCGAUUUUACCAUAUCCCAAUUGAAAUUUUGAAACUUGUUUGUUUGCGGUACCUUUCCCUAAGUGCAACGGGGAGCUCCCUCCUUCCAUAUCCAACCUUUUUCACCUUCAAUUCUUGAUUAUCAUCCACAUAUUAUUAAAAGCGUGGAGUUCGUCUUAUAUGCCUGUGCAAAUUUGGGACAUGCAAGAACUAGAGAUUAGAUGGAAGGACCUACCAACCCCUAAUACUGAGAUGCUACCUUGAACAAACUCACCACUUUAUGUGUGAGUGCAAAAGUUGUACAAGGAAGUUCUCAAAAGAAUUCCUAAUUUAAAGGAUUAAUUAGUGGAGUUGAAGCCUUAUGAUGAUGAUGAUGAUGAUGAAAGAAACCCAUCGAGUUGCUUGGGUUAUAUCUCCCAACUCCAGAAUUUGAGACUUAAUAUUGGGUUAAAUCCCGGAUAAAGUAUGAGUGUAAUACGAUUCCUCUUUCAAUGUUUCCAUCAAUCUCAAGGUGUUAACGUUGUCUGGUUUAGGGGGGUAUCCUUGGAAUUACAUGAAUGAAUUGGUUCGGCUCCAAAUCUCGAGAUUCUCAUUAUAUUAUGCAUUUCGAGGCCCAAAGUGGGACAUAACACCGGGGAGUUUUUUGAAACUUCUCGAACUUCAAAUUGAAGACACCGAUUUGGUGCGAUGGAGACCUCAACGUGGAAGCUUCCCGAUGCUUCGUAGACUAAGCAUGAGGCAUUGCUACAAAUUACAACAGCUCGAUUGGAUGUAUGAUCACUGGAUCACAAUUGUAUUAGUCGAGUGCAAUCCUUUAGCUGUCGCUUGUGCCAAGGAAUUAGAAGACAAGUUUUCAUUUGAACUUAUCGUCAAAUCUUCUUUUUGAGGUCAAGUGAGUCUGCAACUUGCCUAACAGGUUAGUGUUACUAUUUGCAAUAUAGUCUUAAUGUUUCUGUUAUGAUCACAGUGUUUGAGAUUGUCCAUCUAUCGAUUUUCAGGCAAAUGAGAGAGCCGAUCGAAGGGGUCAGACACCGCGUUAUCCCAUAAUUUCGAUUCACGUUGCAUUACCACAUAUUGUCGUAUGUAUUUAAGGAUUGUGAUUUGUAUUGGAUUUUGUUGAUGAUUAUGAAACCUGAGUGCUGAAUUGUGUUUGUAACCAAACUUGUUUUAAGUUGGAUUUGUGUGAAAACAUUAGUCCCUUCAGGAGGUUCGAGAAGUCUCUAAGAGGCCGCGAUGUUGAACAAUGGAUGAGCCGUCGCCGCUUACCUAAAGAUCUUCGAAGGUUCUAAAUUCUUUCUCUUUCUUUCUGAUGAUCAUUGUUGAUUAUCUGUAUGAGCGUUGUCUUCUUCGAAUAACUUGAAAAAUUGCCGAAAAAUUGUGACUCGGGCUAUUAAGUGAACAACGGAGAAGUAAUGAACAUCUUAUCUUUAACAGCUCCGAAUUUUUCAACUUUCAUGCCAAUAUACUAUUUAAUUUGUGGCUUCAUAUUUCAAAUUUAUGAGAUCCCUGAGUAGAAACUCAUCAAUAUGAACAUUAAUUUGUUGAGAUGAAGUCCCUGUUGUGUAUUUGGAUGAGCUUUUUCCAAUAGUCUUAUUGUCAUUUCCAUUUUUGAGAACCUUUGUUGUUGUUGUUGUCGUCGUCUUCUUUUUGUUAUUUUUAUUUCUUUUAAGGUUUAGUUUACAUUUUCUUUGAAAUUUAAAAGUUGUUUGCUGAAGAUUCAUGCCCUCUUAAACUUGACAAAGCCAAAAAAAAGAUUGGGGGCUGAUGACUACAGAAAAGCCAUGAUUUGUAUGAACAAAAUUAUUAUGCUAAUUAAGUUAUUUCUUCUCCAUUGUAAAUAUAUAACUGCAGGAGUUGUGAGGUUCAAAAUGUUGUUGAUUUAGCAAUGAAGUUAAUCUGAUUAAGAACUCUUGUUGCCAAAGAAGAAAAGAAUUGAUUAAUUAUCAUUCACAAAAUUUCUGAAGCAGUUAUCAAUUAACAUAGACCAAUCACCUUACUGGCGAGGAAUUGCAGCUCGAUGGUUCCACAAGUUGAUGAAACCUGAUUGCUAAAUUGUGUUUGUAACCAAAUUGUUGUAAGUUGGAUUUGUGUGAAAAUAGUAGCCCCUUGUUCAUGGAUUGUACUUUUUAUGAGUUAUGCAUGAUUUUCACUUUGCUUUGAUAUUGUGUGUAACCAGUUUGUGUUUGUUUUUAUAUAGCUUAAAAUUUUAAGAUUCUAGCAAUAUACUAAAUAAUUUCAGGCUUCAUAUUUUUAUUUUUAUUUGUUGCUUUCUGCAGGCUCUGGGACGCAGGUGUGCACUCGAUUCGAACCUCAGAUCAUUGGCCUUGGGCGUUAAAUAAGUGCUUAAAUACAAUUAAUUUACUUCAGGAGGUUCGAAAAGUCUUUAAGAGGCUGUGAUGUUGAACAAUCGUGAGCAUGCACUACACUGACUUAUACGUUCAGUGCAAUAAAUUGUAUGCGUUGUGCAAUAAAUUAACUUUGCAUGCGUUCAGAAGGUUCUCAUUUGAAUAUUAAAUCUAAUAAAGUGAUGUUAUUAACUCUGCAGAAGCCAUUGUGUAGAUGUUGCUAUUUGCUAACUCAUAUAAAUUUGUAUCAGUUAAUUUUAGAUCGAGUUAAAGAAAUCAAGAAGAAUCGUCUCUUCCACAUUCACUAUGUACAGCUGCAGCCAUGCCCAUCAACAGAGGAUUUUAAGAAAGUUAACCUGCAGUCUUUCACAGCCACGGCCUCUUCGCUACUCGCCUUAACUACUUAACUAUAUACUCCCUCCGUCCGCGAUAUCGUUUUCACAUUGUAGACGGUGCGGGUUUUAAGAAAAGUGGUGGAUAUGUAGUGAGUGGAGUUUGAGUCCCACUAUUGUUGUGAGUGGAAGUUUGUGGACUAUACUUCUAUAAAUGGAAGUGGAAACGAUAUCGCUGACGGACCGAAAUGGCAAAUGUGGAAACGAUAUUGCGGACGGAGGGAGUAUAUACUAUAGAAUUUAACUACUUAACUAGAUAAAUGAAAAUAAUAAUAACUCACUAUUAUAUAAUUAAUCACCGCACAUGAGGCGCUAAAAUAAAAGCACUUCUUAAAAUAUAAAAUAUGAACUAUUUUCAGAUCUUAGAUCAUCAAGAUCUAAGGGUGAUUCAUAUUUGAUGUAUGAAUUCAUGGUCGUGAUCAGUUCAAAUCAUAUGUCUCUGUUAAUUUAUUUGCUAUCACCAAGGGGCUAUCACCAAGAAGGGGAGAGUUUCUGAUUCUUCUAUCAAGCACAAGCUCCAUCGUAUCAUAAUCAAUGGCAUGUCCUCGGAUUUCCAAAACUCAGCACGCCAUGAUGAUAUGCAGGGCCCAGGUCUAGACACUUCUUCGCCUGUGGAGUUCCUGAAUAAAGUGAAGUAUGCUCAGUCUGGAGGACAGAUUCUGCAAAACUUUGUGAUCAACUCCUCUAACUCUACCGAUGCAGCCCAUGCUAUGUCGGUUGUGGCCUCUUCAAAAAUGAAGAAAAAAUGGGGCGAUAUGUUGGACGAUGAAGAUGACGAUGUUUUAGACGAGGACGACCCUCUUAAAAUGUUCUCUUAGUCUUGGUUUCUUUUUUGGUUACCCGGGGUUUCUUGCGGGUGCUUUUGCUUGUUUCCUUAUGUCUCUGGUCUCUCUUUUUUUUCUUUUCUUUUUAAUAAAAUUUCUAUUUCAGCAGAUCAGUUCAAAUCAUAGGUAGCAAAAUUUUUAAUUUUUGCAAUUCAGACAUUUACACGGAAAAUUCAUACAUUUAAAUAUAAUUUCUCUAAGAUUAAAUCUCAACCGUUAGAUUAUGGAUAGAUCAAUGGUGUAAAUCUAUUCCUAUUUUAUACUCCUUUAAAAGUUGUUUUCAUCAUUGCCCUCCCCUUAAGGCACAUAUCAUAUAUACACUAAGUUGUAUAUAAAUAUUAUCAUACUUUAAUAUGUAUGUGUUUGAAAUUUGGUAUGACCGCUAGGUUUUUUAAAAAAGCCAACACAAUUUCUAUAAAUUAAUAACUUUGGGAUCUAAAAAGUUUUUUUUUUUUUUUUUUUUAGAUACUAAAUUAAAAUCUUAAAAUUNCAGAGGAAUCGUCCCGCCAGAGGAUUCCUACCGCCAGAGGAAUCCUCCCGCCAGAGGAAUCCUCCCGCCAGCGGAAUCCUUCCGCCAGAGGAAUCCUCCCGCCAGAGGAAUCUUGGUUUUCCAGAGCAGAGGAGCGGACGUGCAGAGCAGAGCGUGCGGAGCUGGUUUUCUCGCUAGCGUUAUUUUAGUCUUGCUGAUCAAGUUUCUUUAGUUUCCUUGUUUUUACGUUUUAUGUCCUUCUUUAAAUUAGGGUUUUAUUUUGCCUAUAUAUGGCGGCUGUAUGGAACAUUUGAAAAUUAACUUUGAUGAUAUAUGAAAUUUGUGAGAUUAUUCUCUCUUGAGAACUUCGAGUUCUUCCUGGAUUUUGCCCAAGCAAAUCCAACCUAUCGGCGUAUCGGCGGGUUCAUCAUCCCUCGUCGUAUGUCAUUCACCGUCCCCGAGUUACUGUAUCAACUGCACGUUGGGGUUUAGGGAUUCGUUCGCCUAAAUCACUUCCGUCGGGUUUAGAUCCAGGGGUUUUGGGAUUUCCAUCUUCUCAUUCCACCUAUCGACGAAUCGACGAGUUCAUCAUCCCUCGCCGUGUGUCAUUCAGCGUCUCCGAGUUACUGUAUCAAUCGUGCGUUGGGGUUUAGGGAUCCGUUCUCUAGAUCAUUUCGUAGAUUAGAUACAGGGGUUUUGAGAUAUUCCACACUCUAUCUGUCUUUUAAUUUCCGUUUAUUUCAGAUCAGAUCGUUUAAAGAUCUCAUCGAUCUUUUGUUCAUAUCAGUCGGGCCCAACGCGAUGAAGUUUAAUCUACCCACAUAAUUAUGAUUGACAGAAAAAUUUACCAAGAUUAAGUAUAAAGCUCCAAAAAAGCAUAUAUAUGCAAUGCAUAUAUAUUUACAAAAUUUCACAUUUCGUUAUUACUUAAUAAAAUAAAAGUAAUAGAUUUAAAUAUCAUUAUAUUAUUAAUAAAAUAUUAAAUUUGCAACACAUACAAUAUUUCCCGUGCAUCGCAUAGGAAGUGUACUAGUAAUAAUAAUAAUACUCCCUCCGUCCCCGUCAUAAGUGAAACGUUUCUUUUCGGCACGAGAUUUAAUGAGUCAGUGUUUAGGGGUAUAAGAGUGUUUUUAGUUUUAUACUUAAGUGAGAAUAUAAUAAUUAAUAAUUUUGAAUUAAAUUUAAAUUCAAACUUUAAUUUAUUACUUACAUUUAUUUUCAAAUUUUAUUUUCUAUUUUAUUUAAUAAUUUUUUUUUACAUACCCACUUCUCAAAGGAAUGUUUUAUUUAAUAAUAAUAAUAAUAAUAAUAAUACACAAUGCAAUAGACGUACUAAACAAAAAUUAUAAUUUGUAUUAUAAAGAGUACAAUAAUAUAGUAUUAAAUAUAUAUAUAUAGGUAACUAGGUAAGAAUUCUGAGAAAUUAAAAAAAAAAUUGCUUAAGAAAAGUUAAAAAUUAAAAAUCAUGUAAAAAUUGCACUAGUUUCCUUACUUUUCUUGUUCAUGACGUCGUAGUAAGGGGGCCCAUCUUAUCUUAAUUAUCAGUGCUGCUACUAUUCUUGAUUUUUGAAGCAGCUCUCAUAAUUUUCAACUGGUUGAUUGCUCAAUCUUCAUAAUUUCUUGCUACUAUUCUUCCACACAAUUGCCUUCAAAAUCAUCAAUAGAUCCAUUUUACCAUUACAUUAUACACAUCUUUUCAAAUCAUUUACUAAAGUUCUUGAAUGUGGCUUUGAAUGUUUCUGAAAUUGUAUCAAAAGCAGCUGCCGCCGCCGUCGAGAGGUAAGCAGAGAGCUGAGAUCUAUCAUUUCUUUCAUCUGCGUUUGCUUAUUAUAAUUCCUUCUUCUUCUGCGUUUCUUUCUUAGGCGACUGAAUUUUAUUCUGGGCUAAUUGCAGUUUAGUUCAAGCUUCAUUUUGGAGGAAAAUUGCAGACCUAAGCAAUUUCAUUUCAACAAUAUAUCGUAUCUCAGCUGAUAAUUUGGGUAUGGCGGCUUAUGGUGCAGCCACUUCUCUCAAGAAUACGAUUCUGCGUAUUCUACAAUCGUCUCGCAUUUCUCUAGUUUCCCACUCUCCGCAAAUCUUGCAACCUGCCUACGACCAGAUGGAUCGAUUGCAGAGAAUUCUGCUCCAAUUGGACGAGACCAGCUGCAGCAAGAUCAGGACGAAGGUGAAUGCUGCGGAUGAACUCAUAAAAGAGGCAGUUUGGGAAUUCGAAGAUUUACUCGAAUCCCAUAUCUUACCUCAGAUUCUUCCACAACUCGAAAGCGAGAGACACAACUUGUCAUUCUCUGUAGAUCUGCAGAGUCUGCAACACCAUGUUGAUUGCUUCGUCGAGAUGGUGAAGAUGAUGGAGGUGGAGUACUUCAUUGAAAUGGAGAAUAUGGCUGAAGAAGAAGGCGAGCCUAUUUCCUCAAGAAUCGAUUUUGGUGGAAUCAAGUCAAAGAUGGUUGGAUUAUCUUAUGAAUUUCAAAGAGCCAGAGAUAACCUUCUUGAAGAUAAACACUAUUCGAUUAUUGGGAUGGCGGGCGUUGGAAAGACAACUCUUGCUAAGCAUAUUUUUGAAGAUCCAUCAAUUCGGAGCCAUUUUGAGUUUCGAGCAUGGGUCAAAGUUGGCAGAAAAUGCGCGCCCAAUGAACUAUUACGUUGCGUUCUAGCUCAAGUGGAUCCCAACACUUACCGAAUGCUUGCUCAAGGAGAUGAUGAUGAUGAGGAAUUAGUUGGUCUAUUGAAAGAAAAAUUGCAGGGUAAGAAAUGUCUCAUCGUGUUGGAUGAUGUUUGGGAGACACAAGCAAUAAGUCGCAUGAUAAAUUGCUUGAAAGAAGGGAAUAUUCGUGGAGGGAUUGGAUACUUAGUUACAAGUAGACAAUGUAUAACAUUCGCGCAGCAUAGGGGCAUAAGACUGCAGUUGUUGAAUGAAGAAGAAAGUAAGAAAUUACUUGGUGAGAAGGUGUUUAGUGAAGACGGUUUCCCUCCUCAACUUGAGGAACUGGGAGAGAAGAUUGCUGAGAAAUGUGAAGGUCUUCCUCUUAUGAUAGUCACAGUUGCAGAGCUCCUAUCGAAAGCCGACAAGACCCCAGAAUACUGGACUAAGGUACUCAAACAAUAUAGUUCAGUAUUCGUGGAGGCAUAUAAUCAAAUAUCAGAGGUACUUUUUCCAAGUUAUGACUACUUACCCCAACAUUUAAAAAUGUUUUUCCUCUAUAUGGGAGCUUUCCGUCCAUAUGUUGAUCAGAGUCCAUUUGCGAUCAAUUUUCUGUUGAGUGCUGAGGGCUUUCUUGAACUGAAUGUUGAAAAGAGUUUUGAAGGUUUCUGGGAAAAGCUUUCUAAGUCGUAUCAUCUUGUUCUCGACACAGAAAAUUCUUGGUAUUUGGAGAGACGGUAUCGCGUGCAUUCUUGUUGGCAGCACUUAUGUAAGGUAGAAGCUAGUAGGAUCAAGUUUCUACAUGUCUUACGAGAUUGUGAUGAUGUGACAAACGACCAGCGUCGCUUGUGUGCCCAUUACAACAAUUUAUUUGCCUUCCAACAAGUGUAUGAUUCGAUAAAAAGUGAUUGUGCAUCCAUUGUCCGUUCUCUCCUAUGUCAUGGUCCUUAUCACCCGUAUCCAAUCCCAAUACAUGCCAUGGGUUUCAAGUUGCUUAGAGUACUAUGUGCUCUUAGAGUUCGAUUUUACCAUAUCCCAACUGAAAUUUUGAAACUUGUUUGUCUGCGGUACCUUGCCCUAACUUGCAACGGGGAGCUCUCUCCUUCCAUAUCCAACCUUUUUCACCUUCAAUUCUUGAUUAUCAGGCCACAUAUGUACAUUAAAAAGCGUGGAGUUCAGUUUUAUAUGCCUGUGCAAAUUUGGGACAUGCAAGAACUAGAGCAUCUUGAGAUAAUUGGAAGGGACCUACCAACCCCUAAUACUGAUGAUGCUACCUUGAACAAACUCAGCGGACUUUAUGGUGUGAGUGCAAACAGUUGUACAAUGGAAGUUCUCAAAAGAAUUCAUAAUUUAAAGAAUUUAGGAAUUCAAGUGGAGUUGAAGCCUUAUGAUGAUGAUGAUGAUGAAAGAAACCCAUCGAGUUGCUUGGGUUAUAUCUCCCAACUCCAGAAUUUGGUCUCACUUGAAUAUUGGGUUAGGAAUCCCGAGAUAAAGUAUGAGUGUAAUACGAUUCCUCUUUCAAUGUUUCCAUCAAGUCUCAAGGUGUUAUGGUUGUUUGGGUUAGGGGGAUAUCCUUGGAAUUACAUGAAUGACAUUGGUUCGCUGCUACCAAAUCUCGAGAUUCUCAUAUUAAAACACUAUGCAUUUCGAGGCCCCGAGUGGGACAUAACACCAGGGAGUUUUUUGAAACUUAUUGAACUUCGAAUUGAAGACACCGAUUUGGUGCGAUGGAGACCUCAACGUGGAAGCUUCCCGAUGCUUCGUAGACUAAGC
rnacentral:lncRNA from 1 species